rnacentral:ncRNA from 2 species
GGUCACGAGUGCCAGCGUUAAACCCCGGUUUGCUGGCCGGCAACCCUCCUAUCGCGGCGGGGUGCCCCGGGUGACGACCUGGCCGGACCGGAGUGGUCCCGGCAAGCGCGACCU